rnacentral:tRNA from 1 species
GGGUCGUUAGCUCAGUUGGUAGAGCAGUUGACUUUUAAUCAAUUGGUCGCAGGUUCGAAUCCUGCAUAGAGCAGUUGACUUUUAAUCAAUUGGUCGCAGGUUCGAAUCCUGCACGACCCACCA